ensembl:lncRNA
UAAUGUUACACAAUGUACUGUUAUGCUACCAUAAGUUUGUUACAAUGUGGAUAAUAUAAAGAUUUAUGUUAACAAGUUUCACAAAGCUCGCUAACUAGGGUAUCUAUUGUAACUUGUGAGUACUUGGGACAGUGUUUGAGUGAGUGUCCAUGUGCUUGCGCAGGUGCCUGAGAGCUAGGAUCGUGCCAAGGGUUAACAUAAUGUGUGUUGUCUCUUCAUGUGCAGAUGACCCUCGUCCACACCUGAGAAAGCCAAACCAAAAAAGGAGAGACAGAAUGUGAAGGAGAGCAGUGUGGAGCAGAAAGAGAACUGCGGAGUGGCAACAGCAGCACCAGUGGCUGCGGGGACCAGUCGAGCAGCCAGGAGGCCCCAGAGAGCCGCCGCCACCACUGCCAAGAGCUACAGGGAGCCUGACAGUGCUAGCCAAUCAGAGAAAGAAGAGCUGUCCGAUCUCAAUGUCCUGCCUCCCACCCUCACACAUCUGACGUUUCCUCAUGAUUAGGCUCAUCGCAGAAUCAAUAGAACAAUUAAAUAAUAUAGGCAAUGUAUCUCUAUGGGCUCUAAGAGUUCUCUUUAUGUUUCUCCUAGCCAUAUAUAUUCACUCACUACUGUAAAUCACUCUGGAUGAGAGCGGAUACUAAAUGACUAAAAUGUCAAUGUAAUUCUCUUUUGGUUGGUAGUAGGGGUUGAUCAAUUUUUAGUUAGUGUAAAUCAAGUCUGAAAUCUUAAAGUGGAAUACACUACAAGUUUGCAUUUUCUGCUGUGAUCAAAUUAUGAUCCUACAUCUGUAGUUGCAUGUUUUUUAAGCACUUUUUUACCAGAGCAACUUGGAAGAAAAUAAACAACUGUAAUUAAUGUAUAUUUUGAUGUAUGUUUGUAUGUUUGUUUGUUUGUAUGUAUGGUUGAUGUAUGUUUGAUGUAUGACGCUUUAAUGUAUGUUAAUGUAGGGCUCUUUCAUACCGUCCCUAGGAAGGGUGCAUCACUUGAGUGGGUUGAGUCACUGAUGUGAUAUUCCUGUCUGGGUUGGCGCCCCCCCCUUGGGUUGUGCCGUGGCGGAGAUCUUUGUGGGCUAUACUCGACCUUGUCUCAGGAUGGACCUGAGCCCUAGGACCAUGCCUCAGGACUACCUGACAUGAUGACUCCUUGCUGCCCCCAGUUUACUUCGCCGUGCUGCUGCUCCAGUUUCAACUGUUCUGCCUGUGAUUAUUAUUAUUUGACCAUGCUGGUCAUUUAUGAACAUUUGAACAUCUUGGCCAUGUUCUGUUAUAAUCUCCACCCGGCACAGCCAGAAGAGGACUGGCCACCCCACAUAGCCUGGUUCCUCUCUAGGUUUCUUCCUAGGUUUUGGCCUUUCUAGGGAGUUUUUCCUAGCCACUGUGCUUCUACACCUGCAUUGCUUGCUGUUUGGGGUUUUAGGCUGGGUUUCUGUACAGCACUUUGAGAUAUCAGCUGAUGUACGAAGAGCUAUAUAAACACAUUUGAUUUGAUUUGAUUUGGGAUUAUCAUCUCCCAACUCCUCCUCUCUACUCCUCCAACUCCUCCUCUUGACAAUUCAAAUCUCUCUGAGAAGUAGCCGUUAUUUACUAUUUUACACCUGGUGUUGCUAUACAAUACUUAUACCCAUUUUAUAAGAGAAUCACAGAAAUUGAAAAAAUGUUAAGUUAAUUUCCGAUUGAGCAGACAGCAUUUACCAUGAAUGCAGUCUCUGACAUGGAAACAUUGCCUUUACAUUUCUUCUGCACUACGGAUUGAAUCAAGCCCUAACUUCUAAAUCAAAUGGUUCAGUCACCGACCAAAAAAAUGUAGAGAGCCAAGAACGCCUCCUCUUGGCCACAGUGACAACAUAUAUGUCACGCCCUGGCCAUAGAGAGGUUUUUAUUCUCUAUUUUGGUUAGGCCAGGGUGUGACUAGGGUGGGCUUUCUAUGGUCAUUUUCUAUGUUUUGGAUUUCUGUGUUUGUUUGGCCGGGUGUGGUUCUCAAUCAGAGGCAGCUGUCUAUCGUUGUCUCUGAUUGAGAACCAUACUUAGGUAGCCUUUUCCCACCUGUGUGGUGUGGGUAGUUAUUUUCUGUUUCGUGUGUUUUGCACCUGACAGAGCUGUUUCGGUUGUUCUUUUGUUGCGUGUUUGAUAGUGUUCAGUUUUACCAUGAAAAUGAUGAACACUUAUCACGCUGCACCUUGGUCCUCACCUUCUUCCACCAACGGCCGUUACAGAACUACCCACCACCAAAGGACCAAGCAGCGUGGUGAGGAGCAGCAGUGCUAUCUGGAGAAAUGGACAUGGGAGGAGAUACUGGAAGGCAAGGGACCCUGGGCACAGGCUGGGUAGUAUAGCCGUCCACAGGAGGAACUGGAGGCAGCUAAGGCAGAGCGGAAACACUACGAGGAGUUGGCAUGGCUGGCAAGGAGGCCCGAGAGGCAGCCCCCAAUAUUUUUUGGUAGGGCACACUGGUAGUGUGGCAGAGUCAAGAUUCAGACCUGGGCCAACUUCCAGUGCUUAUCGUAAGGAGCCAAGGAUUGAACCAGAGCCGGUCAGGGCGAAAUUGGAGGUGAGCGACAGAAGCGAAGCUGUGUUGGUGCAUGAGGCAUGACAUCUGCCCGACAGAGCGUGUCUGGGAUUUGAUGACACCUGAAUCAGCUCUCCAUACUCGUCCUGAGGUGUGUGCUAGCCGUCUGGUGAAGACUGUGCCAGCCCCACGCACCAGGCCUCCUGUGCGCCUUCCUAGCCCUGCACGUCCUGUGGCAGCUCGGCGCUACAGCUCUCCAAGACGUGCUUACCAUGGCGGGCAUUGUACUGGUCAGGCACCGUGUUAUGCGGUGGAGCGCACAGUGUCUCCAGUACGCGUUCUUAGCCUGGUGCGCUACAUCCCAGCUCCCCACAUCUGCCGGGCUAGGGUGAGGAUCAAGCCAGGACGGAUGGUGCCAGCCCUGCUCUCCAGACCUCCAGUGCGUCUCCUCGGGCCAGGACAUCCUGGGUCGGCGCUGCGCACUGUCUCCCGUGUGUCUGCGCGGCCCAGUGCGUCCGGUGCCUGCGCCCCGCACGUUCCGGGCUAAAAUCCAGCCAGAAUGGGUUGUGCAGGCCCUUAGUUCGAGACCUCCAGUGCGCCUCCACAGCCCGGUCUAUCCUGUGCCUCCUCCAAGGACCAGGCUAUCUCUCCGUCUCCUCCCUCCAGAGUCUCC